CCAAUAGCGUAUAUUAAAGUUGCUGCAGUUAAAAAGCUCGUAGUUGAAUUUCGGGACCAAUAUGUCGGUCGUGCCUCGGUACGUACUGGCAUCGUUGGUUUCUCCUUUCUGAAGAACCAUGAUGUCAUUUAUUUGGUGUCGUGGGGAAUCAGGACUGUUACUUUGAAAAAAUUAGAGUGUUUAAAGCAGGCUCACGCUUGAAUACAUUAGCAUGGAAUAAUGAAAUAGGACGUUUGAUUCUAUUUUGUUGGUUUCUAGGAUCGACGUAAUGAUUAAUAGGGAUAGUUGGGGGCAUUAGUAUUCAAUUGUCAGAGGUGAAAUUCUUGGAUUUAUUGAAGACUAACUACUGCGAAAGCAUUUGCCAAGGAUGUUUUCAUUAAUCAAGAACGAAAGUUAGGGGAUCGAAGACGAUCAGAUACCGUCGUAGUCUUAACCAUAAACUAUGCCGACUAGGGAUCGGAUGAUGUUAAUUUUUUAAUGACUCAUUCAGCGCCUUACG
rnacentral:rRNA from 1 species